rnacentral:lncRNA from 1 species
AGCCCUUUCGAUGAUCGAUGCUGAUCGAACUCCUUCGAUCGAUGUCUAUUGAUUCUUUGAAUGCUCUGGAUCAUUAGCAGACGUGCUUGAGAGGAUGUUGAAGAUCUUUCUGAAAUUUGGUUGGCUCACGACACUCGUAGCUCACCUUCUCACUUCCCAAACUCCAGGCUGAAACCCUGAAGAACUCACUAAAACCCUACACACACU